rnacentral:sRNA from 1 species
GUGAUUUUAAGAAAUUCUGCUGUGCUCUCCAGCACUGCGAGCUUCUGCCUUCCCUGUAGUUUCCCAGAUGUGAUCAGGUAGCCGAGUUCCGCUGCCCGUGCUUCGGCUGCUUUAGUCUUUUCCUCAGGUUUUUUCCUUGCAGCCGCUGAGGAGGCGAUAAAAUUGGCGUCACAGUUGAAGCAGCGAUUGAAGGCGUCUUUUCAACUACUCGAUUAAGGUUGGGUAUCGUCGUGGGACUUGGAAAUUUGUUGUUUCCAUGAAAUCCUGCGGAGUGUCGCUCACUACCGCCGCUGUUGCCUUCGGUGAUGAGGCAAAGAAAAUGGCGGCAGGAAAAGCGAGCCGCGAGGGUGAAGAGGAGCCUCUUAGCCUGACAGUCGAGGAAAGGGAGGCGCUUGGUGACAUGGACAGCCGUCUCUUCGGGUUCGUGAGGCUUCAUGAAGAUGGCGCCAGAACGAAGACCCUACUAGGCAAGGUAAAAGCAACCAGACGCAGACAAAGUCUUUGGUCCGCACUUUGCUCUACCAAGGCCCCGCGUCCCUUACCGCCCAGCCAGUAUUUAUUUUGGCUCUGCUCCAUGGCCAAGGGGUCGGAAAAGUGUUUCUUGCCUUUGCUGUCCCCGUACUCUGGAAUACUUCGCCCCUUGCUCCAGACUCCCUUCUACUCUGAGGAAAAAAAAAAUCGGAGCGCUU